rfam:Cavia porcellus supercont2_52 genomic scaffold, whole genome shotgun sequence.
GGGGAUUUAGCUCAGCGGCAUAAGCACCUGCCUUGCAAGCAGGAGGUCGUGAGUUCAAUCCUCA